rnacentral:lncRNA from 1 species
CGCCGCGUACACGGACCCUUACACGGAGCCGUGAACGGGCUGUACGUGGACACGGGAAAAAGUGCCCGACGGCCGUCGUGGACGGAAGUUGACGCGCGCCAUGGAAAACUGGGCAAAACCACGUACGUGGCACACGCCGCGGAGACGGACCCUUACACGGACCCGUGAACGGGCUGUACGUGGACACGGGAAAAAAGUGCCCGAGGGCCGUCGUGAACGGAAGUUGACGCGCGCCAUGGAAAACUGGGCAAAACCAUGUACGUGGCACACGCCGCGUACACGGACCCGUACACGGACCCGUGAACGGGUAUGAGAGGUCCGGGAAAAAAUGGCCCAUACACCAUGUGAACCGGCUCAAAACCAGCUAAUGAUGGUCAACAAACGGUGCCAUGGCAGCGAAAACAUGUCUCAUGCCAAAAAAACACUGCCACGGCAGCGUUUCAGAACAGUGUACCCCUCCUUCACAAACUAAGGGCAGGGGUCCCAAUGGGGGCUAAAACCCUCGGGUAUAGUAGGGAGGAGGGGUCCUUCCUGGUGGGCGUACGGAACACGGGUGAUUUUUCUUAGGGAAAACACCCGUGUUCACGUACGCCCAUCCUUUCCCAACGUUGCCUCGGAUGUCCCGUCGUUAUGCCAUCACGAAGGUGUUGGCCCGGUCCCGUGUACGUCUCGUGAGAAAUUCUGACCCAACAGCCGAAGGUAGCUCGGGAAACAGGAAAGUACCCCGUUGCGUACACGAUCCGACCGACGGUAAACAGUCGCAACGAUGUCCCUCCAAUGUCGCCUCCGGAAAAACGUUGCCCCUCGGUGGCAACGUCAUCGCUGUCCCGGUCCCCUGUACGUCUCAAGUGAAAUUCUGACCCAACAGCCGAAUGCGGCUUGGGAAAUAGGAAAGUAGCCCGUUUCGUGCACGAUAAGACCGUCCGACAACGUUGCACCGAUGUCCCGAUAAAGUUGCCUUCGGAAAAUCGUUGCAUCCGUAGCUUUAUUGCUGCUGGUGUGACACGCGUGAUUUGGCCUUGCAGGACGCCUUCGUGCAAGUGAUCCUCCCGUGCUAUGCAUGGGCGGAGGCUUGGUUGGUUUGACCGCUUGUUGGCUACUAAGCGCAUGAGUAGCUUUGGACCCGUGUCUGCCGGUAGAUCCCCCGUUGUACUGCGGCCGACUAUCGGCGCCGUGUCCCGUCCCUCGUCUGGCUUCGAAUCGCUGGAUUAAGAGUGCUUGCGUGCUAGUACCCGACCUACGGGAAGUGGUGCUUCGGAUAAUUGUUGCCUCGCGGCGGACGCACAUUGGGUGUGCCGCUGCGGCCAAAUAGCGCUUGCGGCAUUGCCUCGUGGGGCUGGCACAUUACGUGCCCAUUGCUAUCAAGGCAACCUCGCUCCCGCUUUUGGUCUCGGAUGCUGCUCACGAUAAAGGGUCGUGGCCCUUUCGGUUGCCUCGACCCGACCCAAAGCUCUCCGAACUGAGAACAACCGGAACAGGAGUUGCCUCUACCUCUCCACAGUUACGUGGUAGGAUACGCAACUCUCUGCGCCGAUCCUCAAGGACGAUGAGCUGUGCCGCUCAAGAGCGACAACCGGCCCGGCUGUUGCCUCUGAAUUUCCACGAAAGUGGAAGCGCAGGACGAUGGCCGUGCUGG